UACGGAGGGUGCGAGCGUUGUCCGGAAUCAUUGGGCGUAAAGGGCGCGUAGGUGGCCCGGUCAGUCUUUGGUGAAAGCGCGGGGCUCAACCCUGCGUCGGCCAGGGAUACUGCCGCGGCUCGAGCACUGUAGAGGCAGGCGGAAUUCCGGGUGGUAGCGGUGGAAUGCGUAGAGAUCCGGAAGAACACCGGUGGCGAAGGCGGCCUGCUGGGCAGUAUAGCUGACACUGAGGCGCGACAGCGUGGGGAGCAAACAGG
rnacentral:rRNA from 1 species